GUUCAUGUCACCUGGUGGAUUAUACUACCUGGCUAUUGGUGAUGGCACCCUUACUGACAUAGGGAUGGCCAGGGCUAUACACCCCCAUGCCCCAAAUUCUGGGAAAUCCAUCCAAAAUAUUUAUUUUGGGGUUAAUCUGCAGUUUGGUAAAUAGAAGAGAGACUGGACAAAAUGGGCCACCUAUUGGAGUACCCUGUGUACUGACACUUACCUCCUACCUCUAGUGGAUCAGUAAUAUUGCCUGGACAGGUAGAGUCCUACUGAAUUUUAUUUUUUUAAUGUUUUUGUUGUUUUUUUCUUCGUCUGAUUUUAAUUGUCUACAAGGACCUUAGAGUGGUUGCUGUCUCACUGUGACUCCAGGCUUUGUAAAACAACUCUCAUGACACUCAGCCAACCACAGGAGGUUAGCCAUUUCUGCUUUUUUAGAGUACCUUUUGUACAGCGCUGAGGAAUAUGUUGGAGCUUUAUCAAUAAUUGUAAUUGAC